UUCCGGUUGAUCCUGCCGGAGGCUACCGCUAUUGGAGUUAGAUUAAGCCAUGCGAGUCUAGAGGCCUAGCCUCGGCGUACCGCUCAGUAACACGUGGGUAACCUACCCUAUGCUGGGGGAUAAGCUCGGGAAACUGAGAAUAAUACCCCAUAGUCCACUACGCCUGGAACGGUGAGUGGAUCAAAGCUCCGGCGGCAUAGGAUGGGCCUGCGGCGUAUCAGGUUGUAGGGGGUGUAAUGUACCCUCUAGCCAUCUACGCGUACGGGUGUUGGGAGACAUUGCCCGGAGAUGGAUUCUGAGACACGAAUCCAGACCCUACGGGGUGCAGCAGGCGCGAAAACUUGGCAAUGCGAGAAAUCGUGACCAGGGAACUCCAAGUGGCAGGGGUAAGACCCUGUCUUUUUCCGACUCUAAAUAGGUCGGCGAAUAAGGGGUGGGUAAGGACGGUGCCAGCCGCCGCGGUAAUACCGGCGCCUCAAGUGGUAGUCGCCUUUAUUGGGCCUAAAACGUCCGUAGCCGGUCUGGUACAUUCGUGGGUAAAUCAACUCGCUCAACGAGUUGAAUUCUGCGAGGACGGCCAGACUUGGGACCGGGAGAGGUGUGGGGUACUCUCAGGGUAGGGGUAAAAUCCUGUCAUCCUGAGAGGACCACCUGUUGCGAAGGCUCCACACUAGAACGGAUCCGACGGUCAGGGACGAAGCCUAGGGGCACGAACCGGAUUAGAUACCCGGGUAGUCCUAGGUGUAAACGCUGUGGACUUGAUGUUGGGGACGCUCCGAGCGUUCUCAGUGUCGAAGCGAAGGUGAUAAGUCCACUGCCUGGGGAGUACGGUCGCAAGGCUGAAACUUAAAGGAAUUGGCGGGGGAGCACCGCAACCUGAGGAUUGUGCGGUUUAAUUGGAUUCAACGCCGGA
rnacentral:rRNA from 1 species